ensembl:lncRNA
CCCCAGGCUAACAGGCCAGCGGAAGAACUUCAAUGGCGUCUGCCAGGGUCUGUGUCAGCACGCCUGGACUAGGUCACAACAAUGGCCACCACCACUGUCUCAGUCUCCAGAGAAGUCUCACCUCUCACCAAGAUGCACCAAGAGCCUACCAGCGUCAAGUGGAGCCGAGAGGGAAGAGCAGCAGGAAUAGGAAGAAAAGGGGAGCUUUGAAAGCUUACAGAGCUGGCAGGAAGGACCUGACAGAAGUGAGGGGCCAGAUGUCGUUUUCGCAAAGCUCCCCAGGGAGGCUGUCUUCCAAGGGAUGCUACCAUAGCUUAUUAUUUCAAGACUACCCUGGGGAGGCGUGCAACACGGCAUCCACCAGAGCCCAGCAGCCAUGCGAAAAGCCUGUGGAAGUUGCUGCUCUCACCAUGACUCCAGCACAUUCCCUGGCUCCUCUGACCCACACCCCUCUACCUCUGGCCUCCACCCUGCCAGCAGAACCUCCAGCUGACUUGACCAGAAUCCCACUGGACACUAUUGCCACGAGCACAGCUCCAGUUCGCUCCUGUUGGCCAUUUCCCAACUCAGGCCACGUCCACAUGAGCUGUCGCAUUGAGUUCCUCUCCCAGUGGAACAUGAUCAAGGUCUUCUUCUUCCCCUGUUCAUCACACUUCGAGUCCCAGCAAGGGCACCUGUCCUGCCACCGACCAGUGCCCUCAUUCUGGUGAGGCCCCACAAAUAGGGAGGGAGAGACUGAUAGCCCCUCAGCUGCCAAUCCUGAUGUGCUGAAGCUGCUCAAGACAGAAAUCACGAAAAUAGUACAAAUGAAGUUCUGGGAAAAAGAAGAACAAGAUGAUCCAGGCACUCCUCAGAUGCCCAAACACCCAGUAUCAUGUCUGGGCUGAAUUUCUGCUGGUGCCUACCCCUCCUGUCCUUGAAUUCUGCUGAUCUGAAAACAUGUGGGGUUCAACCCUUGGCCCUUCCACUGUCCAUUUUUCCCUCCUCUGCCACCUGUGAUUCUGGCACCCACUUGAAAGCCGAAAUUGCAGAGUUCUUGGGAAAACCCCUUGAGCCCCAUCCAGGAGAGAAACAUAAGACAUUGACAACAAAAGCAUCAAUUCCCAGGCUGGCCCGUCGCCUCCCUUCAACUUCGCCUGUGAGUGAGGAAAACCAGAAGGCCCUGGGAGGGACCCUACCUGGUCAUGGCUAUGGGCGCUCAGAGGCCUUUCUGAUGGGGCAGGAGGGCCGGCUACCUUCUCCGAGCUUCGCAUUCAGCCUCUCGGACAGAAAUGGGCAGAGUGGGACUGUCGUGGGGACCGAGCAAGGCCGCAUACACCUGAGUCCAGGGUUGGCAAUGGGCAGGAAUGAGCCUCUGAAAGAGAGUGGAGGUGGGGCGUCACCAGAGCCUGCCAUGGGGUGGCAACACUGAAGGGGGAGUGAGGGUCCCAGUCUUGGAGACAGGUGGGAGGAAUAGGAGACGUCCUCGGGACCAAACCCCUCCACGCCCUGCCAGAAAAGGAAGAGGGUUUUCAUGACAGCCCUUUCAGAAAAAUGUUGAUACGCCUCCUGCCCUGCCUGAGGCCCAACAGGGAGGAAGCACCAGAGGAUCCCCUUGCAAAGGCAAGCCCGCGUCAGCCACCACCCAGAGCCAGGCACGGGUUACACACAGCUCGGCGUCAGAUGGCAGGGCUGUUCAAGCGCCAUCGACAGUGACAUCCUUUGUCUGGGUCCUGAGAGAGAAACUGAGGCUUGCCGAGAACUCCUGGCCUCCCAGUCGAAGCAUCGUAUAAACCAUUUCAGGCCUGGGAAGCUGGACAUACCUAGUACCUCGAUGUUCCCUCCUCCCCAGAGCAGAGAAUAACAAUGACAGAGGACAGUCCCCAACCUACCUCCAGGGACCAGAACUGUCAGAAUACAAAGGAGUGGAUCAGAACAGGCAUGGCCACUGGACCUUACCAUCCAGGCAGCCGUGGUCCCCAGCCAAACCCUGCCAGCCUGGGCUGAGGGUGGCAGCUGCCUCAGCCAAUCCAUUACCCGCCAUGCUGUCUUCAGAUAUCUGUCUCCUGGGAUGAGUAGACUGUGCCUGACACUCCUUUCCUCGUAGGAAUGUUUAUCUCCUCAAACGGGGAAGUGGAGGAACAGAAAACCUGGUUUUCCUCCUGAGUCCAUCCUCUGUGCUAAUGGCACCAUCCAACCCUAAUUUUCCCCAAAUACAUGUUUUUU